rnacentral:lncRNA from 1 species
CUCCUCUCUGUGGGUUUAUUGUUCGCAGCGCCAUGCAGCAGUUAACAAAUGCCAGUGGUACACAGCAUUCCCAAGAGCUGACCGCACCGUGACUCACUCACUACACAUACGCAUCCCAAUGACAGCAUUCCUGACCUACUUUGGGAAUUAAGAAAGCAUUUCAGACAUAUUUCCCCCCCUUUCCAAAAGGGAGUGUCCUACAGCUAUUCCAGAGCUGUUGGCUGGGAUCCAGUGAUCACAUGUGGGUGAUGCAAAACAGAUCUAUUCAAAGUUUAAAGGAAGAAAAAUCACAAGGAAUUCCAUGUUUUGCUCUGUUCCCAUCCUAGCAAAAAGCCAGCUUCAAAUCCACAGGACCAGUACUCCAUCCCCACUGCCUGAGCUUAUCUUUAGGAAUUCUUACCAUCUAGUGCUGCUUUCGUGGCAGGGGGGUUGCAACCGGAUGAUCUCGAUGUCCUUUCCAACCCUAACUAUUGCAUAAUUGUAUCAUUUUGGAACUCUGAUACACAUACUCAUAGAUCAGACUCUCGCCUGCUUCCAUUCAGAGAGGACUCACAAGAUCACAUUCCCGGAACACACCAAAAUCCCUGUAAAACCUCACCCUUUUGAUAGAUGCUUCAGUUGCCUUAUUAUGGAGAAAGAAUAAACCAAACUUCCACUAACUUGCCCCAAGCAGGAGGUAACACCCCACUGCCCAGCCUCCCCCAGCGCUGAGGUUACCUUGGUCAGACAACUGCCAGAGAAGAGGUUAGAAAAGGGCUUUAGGGAGAUUUGUCUCUGUGGCCUUUACACAGUCCUCGUGUAUAUCAAGCCGUGAUCCACCACCAGAAGUGUGGGGGGUAACCAAGGCGAUGCCUUCUUAAAGCAGGAGAUGCUUUUGCCACACAUUCACUACACAAAUUCCCUACAGCUUCCACUUACGGCUGCUUUCAGCACCAGUUAUUGCACUCCCCACAGGAAACUUCAUCUAAACCAGAUUGCCAUCUACAACAUGGGUUUUGAACUUUGCCUGCACCACUCCCAUGGGAACAACCCAAAUCCAUUAUAAACUCAAAGACUGGGGAUUUAAUUCCCUGCCAAAUGCACGUAGCCUGAAUACAGUGAUUUAAAGACAUGAGGAAGGAGCAGGGGUUUUAGUGUUAUGAUAGUUCCAAAGCUGGUCUAGAAGCUCCUACUUGUUCUCUUCUGAGGGAUAUUAUUGAAGAGGAGUUUUGCCUCUGAGUCAUUCUCAGAGGAAUUUAUCUAUCUAAAGUAUUUGACAUAGAUUAAGAAAAAAAAAACCAAAAACCAAAAAACAACCUCAUAACUCCCCUGAGCACCACAGAAGGCAACACAAGGUGGAAAAUAACCUGUAGGUGCAAAAAGCAGAGAGUUUGUGGUGGGUACAGGGCCAUGCUCCUUCCCAUCUCCAACUAUUCCCAUUUCCUUCAAGGGGCAGCGGACACUUUCCUUCCCCAGCCAUCACCUCCCCCACUAAAGCUCCUUAAGUAAAUUAUUCCAGAUUUUCCUUAGGCCUGGAUCUCUGGUGCUCAAAAACUGCCCGAGCUCGGAUGAGAAAUGAGAAACACAUCCAGGAACAGAGAGGAUGCAGAACAAAACCCACUCUUAUUCUCACAGCUACCCAAGAUUAGAUGAAGACAACACACGCUGUUAUCUGCACGCUCAAGAGUCAGAACAUGACGGUCCCACUGAAGCACGCUCAGCAGUGUGUCAAUAACACAUAAAUAAGAGCAUCAGAAGAAAGGUGGCUGCAAAAUACCCUGACAAAGUGACCCGUUACCGCCCAGCGGGGCAGCGAGGGCAGCAGCACCCAGCCCCUGCGGCUUUGGGCGCUUUUGGAGGCACAGAACACUCAUAUCCCGGGGUGCCAGCACAGGCACACCCCAACCCCACCACCGGGCACGGCUUUAGUAACGAACAGCUUCAACCAUGGCCACCUCACCCCACUGCACUCCCACUGAAACCAGUGUCCUGACUUCAGCGGCUGCCAGCGAGGCUAAAGGCCACCCCAGCACACGCGGGGUAACCUGGACGCCUCACGCAGCCGGUGCCCAGCGCGCUGCCUGCCGGCUGGCGGAAACAAAAGCAGGGAAAAUCUACUACCACACCCCCCCCCCGGCUUCCCGACACUGCAGCGCGCCUCACGGGCGCCGCUGGCCGCCGAGGGCCCCGCCGGUGCGGCCUGGAG